ACAUCAUUCACUACAACCUAGCCUUAUCUAAACUAUAAAAAUUCAACGUCAUUCAUAAUCUAAUAAAUAAAAACUAAUAACAAUUUCUACAGUAACCAGAAUCAAAAUGUCAAAUUGAAUUUUAAAUUUUGAACCUCGCAUGAAUUUAAUGUUUUCACAAGAAUUAACAGAAUUUAAAGCUACCGCAAAUCUUAUUAAUCAUUUAAAUAAAGCAUAACGAAACGAUACCGAUAGAUCAGUGAACAGCUUAACGCGUAAUAAGCAUCAUGUCAAGCCCUUGGCGGAUCCAGGGUCUUAACAAAUGGGGGGUCAUUAGUAUUAGGACGAGUCCUCCCCCAAAGACAUGGCAUUUAAAGCCUUUUACCCACAAAAUAUAAGUUAAUUACGUUGUUUUUGACAGCAUAAUGACGAAUUUCA